UACAGAGGCCUCGAGCGUUAGGCGGAAUCACUGGGCUUAAAGCGUGUGUAGGCGGAUUGCUAAGUACCUUGUGAAAUCCCACGGCUUAACCGUGGAACUGCUUGGUAUACUGGCUGUCUUGAGCCACUUAGGGGCGACCGGAACAAACGGUGGAGCGGUGAAAUGCGUAGAUAUCGUUUGGAACGCCAAAGGUGAAAACAGGUCGCUGGGAGUGUGCUGACGCUGAGACACGAAAGCCAGGGGAGCAAGCGGG
rnacentral:rRNA from 1 species